GGCAGCAUGGUGGCUUAGUGGUUAGCACUGUUGCCUCACAGCAAGAAGGUCAUGGGUUCAAUUCCCGCCUGUGGUCUUUCUGCGUGGAGUUUGCCUGUUCUCCCCGUGGUUGCGUGGGUUCACUCCGGGUGGUCCGGCUUCCUCCCACAUCCAAGAAUACGCAGGUUAGGUGGAUUAGAAUCUUUAAAUUGUCUGUAGGUGUGCGUCUGGGUGUGAAUAUGAUUGUUUGUCUGU